AUGAACGGACUUUGACAAACACUAAGUGAUUUUCAAACAAUAUUAUGUAUAAAACAACCGGCAAUGUCGUACUUGUACAUGAUGUUCCAGAUCUUGAGCCCAUCAUCCCUGUAGUAGUAGUUGGGGACGUCCUGCAUGUCGCGCUCAGUGAUGUCAUCUGGGAUACAAAGGGAAGUGUAGGUGAUGGCGGACAGCGAUCUCGCCAGGAUCAUGUUUGAAGCAUCUCCGCCGGAAGCUGCAAACUGAGACCAAUAUACAUCAUUCUACACGACAAAACAGAUGGAAACUUGGAAAAACAUUGAGGUCUACAACUUCUUUGUGAGUGGCUGGGUCAAUGAAAUUGGUAUCAAGACUCUGCCGGACAAUCAAGCAACGUUUUUGCUCAGGACCUGUUCUCCUCCAGGACCAGGAGGCGUGUGGGUCGGAUCACAGCUGACUCUUCUCACCCUGGACACAAACUAUUCUCCCCUCUCCCCUCAGGCAGGAGACUACGGUCCAUCCAGACCCACACCUCCCGCCACCUGAACAGUUUUUUCCCUUCGGCCAUCAGACACAUGGACAAUAACAAGAUAUGAUAGCUCAGUUACAGCUCAUGUUAUUCUAUUCUGUGUUAUAUGUGUUUUAUGUUGCACGAUUGCGCCAAGUAAAAUUCCUAGUUUGUGAACCCGUUCUCAAAC